UGUGCCAAUGGCUAAAUGAAUCCUAUGUCAAGAAGAUCCACUCUUAGCUUGAUCAAUGUAAAACCUACGUUCACUGUGUCAGCUAAAUUCAGCCCAGCUUAAUUUAUGCACAGGAGACAAAUCAGAUCUACAUUUCCCACACCGGAGCACAAUUUGGGUCCAAUGUGGCUAAGGUUUUAACGGGUUCAACUUGCUGAUGAGGAAGCAAGCAUCGUUUGACAAGCACAGAUCAGCUGGACCUCUUCCAGAACAUCAUCUCGGAGAAGCAGUACAAGUCAAACUGAAUGGACAGAAAGCUCGGGCAACUGGAGAAGUGUUGCAGAAAAGUGUUUUGUUGAGCUUGGACUUGGAAGAGCCUGUCAAAGGCACUGCAUGGAGAAACUGGAGACAUGAGAUUCAUUUAGCAAGGGGAUGAUGAGCAUUUUUGGUGUCUGACCAAGGAGCAACUAUUUAUUCUGCGAAAGAGACAAAGACAGAGUCUGUUGUUCCAAUAUCAGCAUCCAGCAUAGAGAAAUAAAAGCACCCAGAGACUGUUCUUGUUUUUUUACUGUAAUUAGUUUAAAUUUCUAAACCAAAAGCCAUUUUGAAAGAGAAAACCAGAAUUUUUUGUUCAGAAAAUGUUGAAAUGAAACAUUUCAGAAAAUUUCAAAACUUUUCCUUCAAAAAAAUUUGUCAAAACUGCUUCUUUCCCAGAAAAAGCUUCAACUUGUGAUGAAUUGGCAUUUUCCAGUAAAAAGCAUUUUGUUAAAAAUUUCCCAACAAGCUCUAGACUUAAACUGUUUGUUAGGAAUGUGUCCAAUGUACACAGCUGUCAGCAUUCUUCUGUCUCAGGCAAUAGGUGAUGGACCUGAAGAGCAAUGAUGACACAGAAGAAAUUUAUACCCAAACUCUUCAAGUCCUUUACAUACUUCACUUGACAUAAAGGAGCCUGGAGAAAUUUCUUAAAAUGUGCUUCUCUGAAAAUUGGUGUCAGGGAAGAGACACCGUAAUUUAAUGAAAACCCUCCUCGAUUUCACGACAGUGCAAUGCUCGAGAUCCUGAUUUUUGUUUUUCCUAACUUUGUUCAGGCUUCAGCAACAACAAAAACGUACACCGCAUCUCUUCCCAGUAGACCUCCUUCCUGGAACAGCAGGAAACUGAAGCCUGCCCAUCGACACUAUCGGCACAGCCAUGCAUUCAUCUCCAGAAGCAUUUUCCCAAAUCUUUUUCAGACUGACAACUGGAGGAUUCUGUGCAUAGACUGAGGUAAUUAGAGCUGUGAAGGGAAAGGAGGAA